rnacentral:rRNA from 1 species
ACUCCUACGGGAGGCAGCAGUGGGAAUAUUGGACAAUGGGGGCAACCCUGAUCCAGCCAUGCCGCGUGAGUGAAGAAGGCCCUAGGGUCGUAAAGCUCUUUCAACUGUGAAGAUAAUGACGGUAGCAGUAGAAGAAAACCCCGCUAAGCUACCCGUGCCAGCAGCCGCGGUAAUACGGAGGGGUUAGCGUUGUUCGGAAUUACUGGGCGUAAAGCGCACGUAGGCGGACUAUUAAGUUAGAGGUGAAAUCCCAGGGCUCAACCCUGAACUGCCUUUAAUACUGGUAGUCUUGAUUCGAGAGAGGUGAGUGGAAUUCCGAGUGUAGAGGUGAAAUUCGUAGAUAUUCGAGGAACACCAGUGGCGAAGGCGGCUCACUGGCUCGAUACUGACGCUGAGGUGCGAAAGUGUGGGGAGCAAACAGGAUUAGAUACCCUGGUAGCUACGAG